rnacentral:rRNA from 1 species
AAAUGACUCUCGACAAUGGAUAUCYUGACUCUCGCAUCGAUAAAGAAUGUAGCAAAAUGUGAKACKUGGUGUGAAUUGCAGAAUCCCGUGAACCAUCGAGUCUUUGAACGCAAGUUAGGCCUGAAGCCGCUAGGCCGAGGGCACGUCUGCCUGGGUGUCACGU